rnacentral:rRNA from 1 species
CAGUAGCCGCGGUAACACGAAGGGUGCAAGCGUUAAUCGGAAUUACUGGGCGUAAAGCGUGCGUAGGCGGAUUGUUAAGUCUGUUGUGAAAUCCCCGGGCUCAACCUGGGAAUGGCAAUGGAUACUGGCAAGCUAGAGUGUGUCAGAGGAUGGUGGAAUUCCCGGUGUAGCGGUGAAAUGCGUAGGGAUCGGGAGGAACAUCAGUGGCGAAGGCGGCCAUCUGGGACAACACUGACGCUGAGGCACGAAAGCGUGGGGAGCAAACAGGAUUAGAGACCCCUGUAGUCCCUGUCUCUUAUAC